rnacentral:piRNA from 1 species
UGAUGCUGGCAAGGAGAAUCGAAUAUGGU